rnacentral:lncRNA from 1 species
AUCUCUUGCUGCAACGGUAGUGAGAAGGAAGGCAACCCUCUACCCUUUGGGAGAAGGGAACCAGAUUUGAGGAUACUCUUAGUCCAGUGUUGGAAGAAAAGCAUUUCCUUCUCAGGCAAGUGCGAGGACUGUGGAACGGGCAUUGUGGGCCAAUAGCCACUCCUGAGAGAACGGAAGCUACAAUGCAAGCUCUUCCGGGUACGGGCACCUUCAAAAAAAUUCAUUUGGAAGCUCUGGGAUCUGAUCUGUCUUGAUGUUGUGUUUUAUCAAAGUGCCUUGGUUUUCCAAGUAGGGGGAUGACUUCAGCAAUACAGUUUUACUGGGACAACGGACAGCUUCAGAUGAAGAGGGAAGUGACUUUGUCCUUUUGCUUGUUAAGGUCUUCUUCCUCCGAAGUGUUGUCUGGAAAACUCAUCUACUGUCGUGUCCGUGUGGAGCAGCUUACUGACCCCAGGCUUAAACCACCCUUCUGCUUGAGUUCUUGA